CCUGGCGGCCAUAGCGGAGGGGAAACACCCGGACUCAUGCCGAACCCGGAAGUUAAGCCCUCCUGCGUACUGUCUGGUACUGCACUUCUGUGCGGGAAGGACAGUAAGCUGCCUAGG
rnacentral:rRNA from 1 species